UACCUACCGGCUGCUGAUCCCA
rnacentral:piRNA from 1 species